rnacentral:rRNA from 1 species
CUGGCUCACGAUGAACGUUGGCGGCGUGCCUUAUGCAUGCAAGUCGAACGGUCUCUUGGCCCGCAAGGGUUCAAGAGCAGUGGCGAACGGCUGAGUAAUACAUAAGUAACCUACCCUCGAGUGGGGAAUAAUUCUUCGAAAGAAGAACUAAUUCCGCAUAGCCUGGCCCCUCAUAAGAGGAGUCAGCAAAGGCGAAAGUCGCUUGAGGAGGGGCUUGUGUCCUAUCAGGUAGUUGGUGAGGUAAAGGCCCACCAAGCCUAUGACGGGUAGCUGGUCUGAGAGGAUGUACAGCCAGAUGGGGACUGAGAAACGGCCCCAACUCCUACGGGAGGCAGCAGCAGGGAAUCUUGCGCAAUGGGCGAAAGCCUGACGCAGCGACGCCGCGUGAGGGAUGAAGGCCUUAGGGUCGUAAACCUCUUUUUAUGGGGACGAGCAAGGACGGUACCCAUAGAAUAAGCCUCGGCUAACUACGUGCCAGCAGCCGCGGUAAUACGUAGGAGGCAAGCGUUAUCCGGAUUUAUUGGGCGUAAAGGGCGUGUAGGUGGCCAGUAAAGUCUCUUGUGAAAUCUCCCGGCUCAACUGGGAGGGGUCAAGGGAUACUCACUGGCUUGAGGGAAGCAGAGGAGAAUGGAAUUCCCGGUGUAGUGGUGAAAUGCGUAGAUAUCGGGCGGAACACCAGUGGCGAAAGCGAUUCUCUGGGCUUAACCUGACACUGAGGCGCGAAAGCGUGGGGAGCAAACCGGAUCAGAUACCCGGGUAGUCCACGCCAUAAACGAUGAGUGCUGGGUAUGGGGGGUAUCGACCCCCUCCGUGCCGAAGUUAACACGUUAAGCACUCCGCCUGGGAACUACGGCCGCAAGGUUAAAACUCAAAGGAAUUGACGGGGGCCCGCACAAGCAGCGGAGCGUGUGGUUUAAUUCGAUGCAAAACGAAGAACCUUACCAGGGCUUGACAUGCAUGAAGUAGUGAACCGAAAGGGGAUCGAACUGUUAAGUCAGUAGCUUGCACAGGUGCUGCAUGGCUGUCGUCAGCUCGUGCCGUGAGGUGUUGGGUUAAGUCCCGCAACGAGCGCAACCCUCGUGCUGUGUUAAUUUCCACAGCAGACUGCCCGGCACAACCGGGAGGAAGGUGGGGAUGACGUCAAGUCAGCACGGCCCUUACGCCCUGGGCUACACACACGCUACAAUGGGAUGGACAAUGCGUUGCUAAGGAGCGAUCCGGAGCUAAUCGCAUCAAACCAUCCCCCAGUUGGAAUUGCAGGCUGCAACCUGCCUGCAUGAACGUGGGGUUGCUAGUAACCGCAGGUCAGCAUACUGCGGUGAUAAGUUCCCGGGCAUUGUACUCACUGCCCGU